CGGAAAGGUCUCUUCGGAGAUACUCGAGUGGCGAACGGGUGAGUAACACGUGGGUGAUCUGCCCUGCACUUCGGGAUAAGCCUGGGAAACUGGGUCUAAUACCGGAUAGGACCACGGGAUGCAUGUCUUGUGGUGGAAAGCGCUUUAGCGGUGUGGGAUGAGCCCGCGGCCUAUCAGCUUGUUGGUGGGGUGACGGCCUACCAAGGCGACGACGGGUAGCCGGCCUGAGAGGGUGUCCGGCCACACUGGGACUGAGAUACGGCCCAGACUCCUACGGGAGGCAGCAGUGGGGAAUAUUGCACAAUGGGCGCAAGCCUGAUGCAGCGACGCCGCGUGGGGGAUGACGGCCUUCGGGUUGUAAACCUCUUUCACCAUCGACGAAGGUCCGGGUUCUCUCGGAUUGACGGUAGGUGGAGAAGAAGCACCGGCCAACUACGUGCCAGCAGCCGCGGUAAUACGUAUGGUGCGAGCGUUGUCCGGAAUUACUGGGCGUAAAGAGCUCGUAGGUGGUUUGUCGCGUUGUUCGUGAAAUCUCACGGCUUAACUGUGAGCGUGUGGGCGAUACGGGCAAACUAGAGUACUGCGGGGGAGACUGGAAUUCCUGGUGUAGCGGUGGAUUGCGC
rnacentral:rRNA from 1 species